ensembl:lncRNA
AUAUACACAUACACAAUUUUUCAUUUGUCAGUAAAGUCCUGACUCGGGACGUGUCAACAGUUCUCUGGCUUUGCCUGAAAAUAUUUGAAAUAAAAAUCACCCUUUACAGGAGUUAUUUAGUGUGCUCAUAAACACAGUUGAAGAGACGGUUUACACAUUCCAGAGCCCACUGCUUCACCUUAGCACAUAGGGAACAGUGGUGCGCGUUCUUCAUCCAGUCUCACAGUUACGACUGUGGGACUGGUCCCGCCAUAUCUAACGACAACAAACGUUACUUUGAUUUAAUAAAAAAAAAAAAAGUUAAGACCGAACUCAAGGUCAUAUCCCUUCUAUCCAUCCAUUCAAGUGCUGUAACCUCUGAAAUGUAUUCCGUUAGAUUUUCUUCAGGAAUUUCUGUGAAAAAGAUUUAAAAACAGAAACGUGCCCUUGACUCUGAAGGACUAGGCUGUUUUCUUGGUUUGCUUCCAAUUUCACAUAUAUUUUGGUGCAAUUUCAAUGGCAAAAAAAGUGGUUCAUAAUCAGGAUUUUAGGCAUUUCUAGACAGACUCAAUCGUUUUGUUUUGUCUCAUGAUUGAAAAAAAAUGUGAUUAUGAUCAAAUGUGAGGGUUCUUUGCCAUGAAUGUGUGCUCAGGACAAUUUAAACUUAAAUAAUGAUGAAGACAAUUUCACAUUCAUGGAAAAGUGUCUGCACCAAUCUCCCACCAUCCCUGUGCAUAUCUGACCUGGCCCCAUGGCCAAGGCGUUUGGAGUUUAGCAGGACAUUUGGCUAACUACGCUAUGUAUGUUAGGUGGGAUUCAUUUUGGCGUAAAACUUGGUAUGAAGCAUUAUCGAACACAAAGACUCUCUCUCUUAACUAAUCAGGUGGUUAACGGAACGAAUCCGCAAGGAGGGGGAAGUAUAUACGAUUAGAACUAUCACAUACACACACACACCCAAUAUAAACAUGCUCAAAAACUUUUUUCAGUCCCCCGAAAGGAUCCGGAUUCACAGCACAACAUUCCCCAUAAUAACCUUUUGUCAAGUUAAAUAAAAAUGGUACAAUUGUUACAGCUGGACGCCUUCCCUCUGUACCACCGAAUACAAUUCAAAGUUAAAGUAAACCAGAUGAUUCAUGCAUUCAUAAGCGGAAAAAAAAAAAACUUGUCAAAUUGAAGGCUCUUUGAGAACGUAUUCAUCUCCCAAUCAGGUACCAAGUCUGGGGCUUCAAUGAAACCCCUUCCGUACAGGCAGCAACAAGACUGGUAAAGAAAUCCAAGACAUUAAAGGCACCCAGUGCAACUUUAUGUAAACAUUCAAUGAAAAAUAAACAUUCAAUUUCUAGUCUUUUUUACACGUAGUAAGUUUCAAUAACUCCAUACCAUUACAUAUCGACAUUCAAGGAGCAAAGAUGAGACGUCGCUGUGUGGUGAGAACUGAUAGAAAAUCG